UGGUCUUGUAUGAGAUAUUGUGCAUGUAAAUGAUGUACAUUGCACAUUAUUCUGAUGUCCUGUUAAUGUAAUGUGAAUUAUUUGUUGCUAACAAGAUUAACUCUGUUGUGUGUCAUUCUUCCAUGUCAUACAGGAAAACAAAUCAGUAAAUAAUUGUGAAAUAUCUUAAGUGUCCAGAGCACAUCCUAAACAAGCAGUAACCAACCAGUUGUCCUUGUUCAAGUGCCUAGAUGGUGCUGGUGAGCACUGAGAGCCGUUGGAACAGUAUAAAGCUGCAGACCUCACAGUUUCAGCUCUUAUUCACGAGUGACAGGUAAAAGGAAUGCUCACAGCAAGUUUUCAUCAUGCAUGGCAGAAUUGCAUCCUUAUGACUACACUGAGCCCUGAUUUUUUGGAAAAGACCCAAUCUCGGCAGCUGGGCAUAUUAAGACAUCCUGAGGUAGCUGGCAACUGUCCAAAACACACACACACACACACACACACACACACACACACACACACACACACACACCAUUAACAAAAAUUAUUGAUGCAGUUAGUUAAAGCUAUGCCUAUAUCUAGAUCUAAUCUUAAGAGGGGAAGAGAAAGAGAGAGAGAGAGAGAGAGAGAGAGAGAGUAUACACAUACAUGAGUAGCUUCUCACUUGUAUCCUAUAAGUUAUCCAUUUUUCCUCUCUACUGCUUUGCUCCAGCUCCACAUAGUGGAAGGGAUUGGAAAUGUCAUGACACUGUCCUAACACUUUUACUAUAAAGCAGUGUAAAACUUUAGAGGGGGAAAAGCAGUAUACAAAAACAAAAUAACUUAAGAAUAACAUGGAAUACACUAAGCUAUGAGUUUGGUGGUCAUGUAAGUGAGGGUGUGAUGAAUAUUGAUGGACUUGACUCUUGAUGGACUUGAUGGACACGCUGUUGCGUGUUUAAAUAAGAUUUGACAGUAAUGCUGGCUAUAAUUUAAAUCACAGGUUUAUAAUUAUGUGCUCCUUCUAAUGUGUUAUAAUUUUUGUAGUACAAGUGAAUUCAGAGGCACUUUCAGGAUGGCGCACUUAAUCUGGUGCUGAUAAUGUUUUUAAAAGUAUGCUUCCAUUUGAGAUUUCUCUUGAUUUCAUUGUUCCAGACAUGACGAAUGGCAUUUUUCUUUCUUUCUUUGAUUAGUUUCAAGGAAAUGACUUGAAAAACACCAAAUGUAAAAAAAAGUAGGACACGUUCGUUAGUAAAAUAAAAAUCACAAGCGAGGGCAAAGUGCUGUGUUUUAAGAGAAAUAAAACUCUCUGUAGGAAAGUAACCAGCUUUGAUAUUUUGUUAUCUAGUUGUCAUGCACAACUUAUAAAGGCGUCAUGUGAUUUUAUAAAGAUUGCCUUUAAUUAAAGUGUUAGUAAAGAUUGUUGUUUGGACGAGGCUAAAAAAUUCUUUCUUCCCAAUCAGUUUCCCAAACUAUACAACAGAUAAAAAGCAAUUACAGGAAAUGGGAGUGCUUCAUCAGUGGCGAUCUUCUAAGGAAACUGCAAGAAAUCACAUGGUUCUAUUUGAUCACUAAGAGGGAUUUGCUCUGCCUGGCAGAAACAAGUGAAGUGAUAUGACCUGCCUGUAAGAGCAAUGAAUGUUACAUCAUGCGAUCCCAUUUCUACUUCUAAUGGCGGUGUAAUGAAGCUCCUGGGAGUGCUGAAGCUGAAGAGAAAUGAUGCUAAGUGCUGCCAUGGCAACCAGUCCUGACGAUUGCAUCAUGGCAGAUUUGUAUGUUUCUCCAAUCAUAGGCUGCUGUUGAUAAAUAGUGAAAGUGUAGGUCUUGUGUUUUUAACAUCAGAUUUUUGGCAAACCGAGCAAUUCAUUCCAAGCGUUAAAGUAAUCGGAAAUCAAUAUUUCGCAAAGCAUCAUGCAGGGCCACAAGCUCUCUCUCAUUCUGGGUAUUAGUACUAUGUCUGCACAAUAAGGAUUUAGGAUGUUGCUAUAAUAGGAAGAGUUCCCUAUGAACAGUGUUCCCACCUGACUCAGCUGGAGCGCUUUGGAUAACACACUGGAUUAAUGCUUAUCCGCAUCAGAAGCUGCAGCUUGACGGAAAAGCCUCUGAGAGCCUCAGGGCACCUUUCAAAUGGGCAACACCACUUUCCCUCAGAGGGUAAUAGAGUGGAAGCAGAAUACCAAGUCUACAUAAUCCUCUCUUCCAUAGUCCCACUGCCAAUAGCUGUUUGACAUCUCAACUAGUUCAUGCCACACACUCAGAUGCCGAAAGUGAUAAGAAAAGCAACGCACCCAUAUAUGAGGCUGACACGGCAAAGUUUAUUCACUGCUUAAAUGCGUCACAACAAUAAAUUACCAUAGUUAUAUAAUUAAAUGUAUGUCUCAAACCUUUCCACAAGACAGAAUUUUUAUGCCACUAAGACCUUUUUCUGCAAUAGCAGAAAAAUACAAUACAAACAGUACCUCAAACCCAGUGCAUAUUUAUCUAACUGACAGGCAAUUGAAUGUAAAUGUAAUUUUGAAUAAUAUUAUAGAUUUAACUGUUUCUAUACACUGGCUGCCUCAUACAUUUAAUAAUAGACAGCAGUAGAUAUUACAUUACAGAAGCUUGAAGUUGUAUAACAUUCAUGCAGCAUUUUGAUUUGGACUGGGUGAAAUGGCAAUUCAAAUCAAUUUAAUUUAUAUGGUGCUUUUAACAGUGGUCAUUAUCGCAAAGCAGCUUCACAAACAUGAAAAGAAAAUUUACAAAAGAAAAUUUAUGGAAGUGUGUAUGUGUGCGAAAAAUGUGUCUAGAUAAUAAUGAGAUUGUCCCUAAUAAGCCAGCAUUUGGGUGAUAACAGAUAGAAAUUAUAUAACAUCAUGUGUGUUAUGCAGCUGAAAGUACAAUAUAACAGAAGUUCUUUAAAUUAACAUGAAGUCCAGUUCAGCAUAGGGAUGAGUCAGUAGGUGCAGAGGGCAGAUGGGGUCUGGAUCACUGGGAGCACAGAAGCAGCAUGUGUAGCUUCAACCAUCAUAAAGCAGAAUCCAGCUGGAGCUGGUCCUUCUCUGGAUGCCUCAGGAUCCUCGCAGGGUUGGCCUUUGUCUACUGAAGCUGGCACAAUCUCCAGGUGGCUCGGGAUGGGUCGAAAAAUAAAGAACAGGUGGAAAGAAUUAGCAUAGUUGCCAUUAAGGAUAGAUGUACUGGAAUAUGAGGUUAUGGGAUGAAUUAUGUGUAUGCCAGAUUAAAGAGAUGUGUCUUGAGUCUACUUUUAAACUGGCACAUGUUAUUCAUGCAUCAGUCAGUCAGGAGUAAGUGCUCAGUGAAGCAACUGUAAACAAAUGACAAUGAUGAUGUAAGGCAGGGCAGUGAACUGUAGGUGGUCUCAUCGGGAGCACUUCCCACUGGGCACAGAUAAAGGUGCUUUGUUCGCACCACUUCCUCUCCUUUGCUAAAUGACUGGAACAUUGUUCCUUUGCCAUAAUGUUGGCUCGUUUAGAACAAAACUGAGUUGCUCUUUGUGGUUGUGACCUAAGAGGCAAGUGAAAGACUGAACGAGGAGAUAUAUAUAUAUACAGAUUUCUGUUGAAUAAAGAAAAAUAAACGACCACUUACUGUAAAACAGUAGCUAAAAGUUCAUCAAAAUUGAAAUAUCUGAAAUAAGAGAACGGUUAUGCUAUUUUUAAAGAUAUGACAGGAACAACUGCAGGUAUCAAUGCUUUAGUAAACUUUCUGUAAAACAAGCAAGCUAUGUGUCCUGACAAAAGUCUAUAUGGCAAAGUAAAAUUCAACUUCCUUCUGUACCCCUGACUUAUUUUACUAAUUGUAUAUACUAAUAUAUGGUAUAGGGACACCACUGAUCAUAUAAUAUCACCUCAGCAGAAUGACAACAGCGAUGUUGGUUCCAUGCACUGAUACUAAUAAAGGGCAACAAGAUAGUUUUUCACAAAGUGUCUAAAGGUACACAAACACAGUACAUACCAGUGUUUAAAAACCUCCAGCUGUGUCUGAUAUACCUGUAUCAGCAUUACAAGCAAACUUCUAUGACUGCAAUCUCUGUUAUGCUGAAAAAGGGCCACACCCAAAUAAUAUUGUGUCAGCAGUCCUUUUACAGUAAAGGUAAGGGGUGACAAUUUGUGCAUAGCAAGAUAUGGGCUACAUCAUUUACCAACAAAUUCUUGUACAAAUGGCCAAUGAGUUGAGAUAGAUGGUUUAAUAAACUGUCGACCCAGAAUAUAUAACACAUAAAGAAUAAAACCUGAAGGAAACCUUAAUUUUUUGUACAAAAGCAAUACCAUUUUAAAUGUAAUAAAAAACCACAUUGUGAAACAGCCAUGAAACAAUUCAUUUCUUAUAUUUUUGCAGCUAUACAUGAUUGUUCCAUCAUGGGCUUCUUAUUUAAUCUCUUCUGUGAAGUUUAAAAGGACAAUAAAAGCAGCUGUUACUAAGAUGUCACGGACUCAUGUGUUCUGAAAAUCUUCCAGUGGCAGAAAACUACAAAGCCAGACAUUAGAGACUCUUUCCAUAAAUGUUUAUAAACAUCUUGGUGUUCAAAGGUUAAAUCAGUCUCACUAUUUCAGAUAUUAGACCUUUUUAUUACAGAAGUUCCUAUGAGUAAGAUGUAAUUAUAAACAACUAUAAAAUAUUAUUAAUAUAAAAAUAUGAUCAUGAGAGCUGUUGUUAUAGACAAUUAAUCAACAUCUUCUGACUGAUGAGGUUUUUAAAUAUUAAUAUUACUGCUAAUACUAUUUUAUAUGAAUAAGAUUUAUUUAACUAUAUUAUUAAUUUGUUAUUAUCAUUAAAAAUGCUGUGUUCUUAGAUCAUCUGUCACAUUGUUGGCUAUGCCUCUGGUUCAGAGAACGGAAUAUACAGUUGCAGUCACGGGUGUUAAUCAAGAUGCUACGCAGCUGUGCCCCACAACACACACUCGAGUGAUGCAGAUGCUACUGACUCUUACACAACUCUUUAACUGUCAAACACGAGAAAACAGAAAAGCAUGAAGAGACGUUUUAAAGGCCUCGUGCUGUGGUUAGAGAUCUCCUGGAACAGACAAUCAUCUGAAAUACAAAGAACAAAUUUAGACAGCACGUUUUAGCUGCAGCUUGUGAUGUCUGUAAUGCUAAAAUGAAAACUUUAACCUCAAGCUAAUGAUAGAGAUAGCUUUUUAAUAUAUAUUUAAUCUAUUCAUUAUGUGUCGUUUACUGCUCUGCAAACAAUAACAAGCACUCCAGGGCACCCUGAAGACAUAAGAGUAAUCAUUAUAAGAAAAGUGGGGAAUGUAUAUUUUUACUUACACUAACACAUGAGGAGACUGAAUGAUACAUCAGAAAGAUGUACUGCAAUAAAUUAUAAUGGCACAUUUAUCUGUACUUGAUAUCGACACUGUUUAAACAGUCCAUUACCAACCAGAAACAUGACAUACAGUAGAAAAUGAACAAAAACUUUUACAAUCUGUGUGUGCAGACAUAAACAAUUUAUAAUACAAGCAAAUCAGAGUUAUGA